GUCCGCGUGUGCACGGGCGUGCGAACUAGAAGAGUGCUGGCACUAAAGCACUGUCCCCUGGCACUCAUUUCUGCAGCGGGUCCUGGCUCCCCGAGGGUGACAUUAAAGGGAGAACACCCACCAUCGUGAGGAACAGGAGGGUGAGCAUCUGCGGCGGCAAUCAGAAGACACGGCGCCUCAACCUACACUGAGAACUUGGAGGAGUCUGACCCUCGCAGAUGCAGAAGAAAUCUGAACCCACGUGGUAGUGCAGCGGGAGACCAGGAAUCGCCCAGACUGAGGACCUACUCUCCUUAGUACCUGGAGCUGAGCCCUUUCCACCCACUGGGAGUCUCGUGCUUAUUCUGGACAGACGAUCCUGGGCUGACUCAUGUAACUCACAAACACUUCCCCCACAUUCUUCCACUCCAGCUCCUUCAGUGACCUGUGAUGCCCACGUUGCCUUUGACCAUGUUUUCUCACUGAGGCAGGGAUCUCUUGGGAGCACCCAGGCCCAUCCCCAGGGGAUCAUCUUAUACGACACAGAGCAUCACAUGCUGGGGUUUCCAAAGUGGCACCGUCCCUGCCAUCAUCACUUUAAACUUCACCAUUGUCCCUGAAGGAAGUGGAAAGAGAUUGCUUCCCACACCUCAUGCUUCGCUGGGGCAUCUGGUUUCAAGGGGCGGCUGUUCGUAUCUCUGUACAACAUGGGAAGCCUGCAUCCCAUCUCCUCUGGAGAAAGAGUAGGAUCUAUCCCAUCCCCGCUCUCACCGAGAACACUCUUGCUGUGACCUCUUGGGCUCCCUCAACCAGAUGCCCUCACAUACAUGAACCCCCCUUCUCCCCAACAUCCACUCUCGCCAGACAUGCCAGAUACAUUUUCAUCCCUGCGAAGCCACAGGGAUGCCCUGCCAGGGCCACAGAAGAGCUUUAGAGUUUUACUUGCCCCAUCCCGCUCCCUAAGCCAUGUUUCUAGAAUCUUCAUUUCCUCAGCCACCGUGGGGUUUGAGCACCUUGGCCGGCCAGUAGGGAAGGGCCACUGAAAUGCUUUGCUCUGGAGAAGGCGGAUCCCAUCACUCCCUCUGCAGCUGGGCACACAGAGCAUUGAGACCUCAGCGUCUUGCCCCCAUGUGCCCUCAGAGACUUAUUCGCCAAGCAGCCUUUUCUGGGGAGAGGUGAACGCGUGGCGGGAACUAAAUAUCAUUGCCAGCCCCACCCCCUGCCAUUAUACCACUCCCCAUUAACCUCACCUGCAAAGCUGUUCAACCCUCAUCCCUGAUGGGCUUCAGGAACAGGCAGGAGUGACCCUGGGCCCCAUCCCAGCUCCAGUCUCUCUGGCGGGGCCCCAGGUGGCUGUUUUGGCCGAUAGAGCAGUCCCAGGAAGAGGAGGGGUCCCCUGCAAGCUGGGCUCACCAAUCAGACCCUGUCUUUGCAGCUAAGUCUCUUGUGGAGCUCAUUUGCAUAAUUUGGUUCAAUAUUUACUGAGCCAACCUCAUUUUCUGGGCUGUCUGCAUGGCCGACAGCUGGGAAGGCUGCAAUUACCGUAUUACACGCGCGCAGGGAAGCCACGGAGAGCGCACAGUGAGAGGCGGCUUCCAAACAAAUGGCCCUAGGGGAGUCCCCGCCCGUGGUCUACCCCAUCCCUGCAGCUGGAAGGCUGCCUGGGCCACAGCUGCAAGCCAGGCUGCACCCAGGCGCAGCUGACAACAACAGCAAUGGCAGCAGUAACAGUAGGGCGUACUUUCCCUUAAGCCAAUCAUCGGAGCUGGCUUCUGUUGGGUGCUUUGGUGUGAUCAUCGGGCUUUCUUCUCCAGAUGGGAUUUCUCACUAAUCCUCACUGCGGUCCCAGGAGAGGGGCCAUCAGCAAGGCCUGUUUCAGGCCACUGUGUGGCCAAAAGGAGACCGAUAGGCCAGGAAGAGACUUCGCUUCAGGCCCAGCUGGAUUCAGGGUGUGAGUGAUGUCAUCGAGACUCAGUUUUUCUCCAGUGAAGUGCACCCUCACACAGUUUCAGGGGGCAACAGUCUGAGAUCAACUGCCAGAGGCCUGAAGGUCACUCGGAUUGGACAAGCAGGGAAAGUCGCUUCUCCAGGGCUGCCCCUCUGUGACACACAACAGAGGAAGGUAAGGUAGGCAAGGAUCUGAGAGCAGACAGGCCAACAGUCAUGGACUCUGCCCCUGGAACGUAGGUUCGUUUAAGGCAGGGGCCGCUGGUGUUUACUCCCCAGCAUCUAGGAAUAUCUGAACAUGAGAGGCUUUCAAAUAAAUAGGCUGAUUCUUGCUUCUGGAUGGAUUUAACAUACUUGAGGCUUUGGGUAGACAGCCAUUAAAUGUGGAUAAAAAUAGCCAGCCCAGUUUGGUUGGGAUGAUUAAAUGAGAAAAUAGAAGUACACAUGCCUAAAAUUAUAGGUCACACUUAAUAGGGGCUCCAUAAAGGACCGUAGACUUCAUGAACUCAUCCCUUUUCCAGCCAUACUUGACCAUGGUAAUCAACCCAGACAGACAAUAGUUGCCUGUGGAUUACUUGUGUCCCCCAAGAUAAUAAAGUAGUUUUUAAAAAUAAUAACGCUAACCAUUUUUAGCAUACUUCGCCAUUUA